GCUUUCACCAGCUACUUUGUUGAUUUUGUGAAGGCACUUCAUACAAACAUUUGUAUGUCCUCAACAAGCUAGUUGAAGGCAUUACACGGCAGACGUGCACGACAAGUGGACCCCAAACAACAGAUCCAAGUGACUUGUUUGGACUCAGACAAACUCUGUUAAAGCCUUCAUCUUUGAGAUCAGACUUCGGGAAUUCAUCCAUUUGAGACUUAGAGGACGACGAAGAUGAGGACGACCUGGAUCGAGAGCCCUUACUUUCACUGAUCCUACAGGGGAGAAAUGGGCGGCCCGGCGCUUUUCGGCCAUGAUGCGUUGUUCCUCCAGCUUCCUGCGCCGCUCCUCCAGCUGUUGCUCCCUCAGCUGCCGUGCCUUCUCUUCCUUCUCCAACCACUGACUCUUCUUAGCCGCUAAGACCACAGAGAGGGAAAGCCAGAAACUGAACAUGGACUGAACUGAACAUGGAUCCAAAUGAACUGGAAUGGACCACCACCACCACCAUCACCACGUUCACAUGAAUACAAGGCCUCAUCAAAAGAAAAGCAGAGACCUGAAUUCAAGGAAUAACUCAUGGCAAAACAAGAAGGAUUACACUAAAUCUGCUUGACCGAUUUCCAUGAAAGUCUGCAGAGAUGUGAGGCGUGGUCCGAAGGACACAUGAUAAAGAAUGUUGUACACAGAUAGCUGGAAGACACGUAGAGGCUCCUCACCUUAUUCCAGAGUACAUGAGGUCAUCCCUGCAGGCCAUGCGGAGGAGACAGUCCAAGGUGAACUCGUGAGCCACCAACUAGUGUUGUGAUCCACAGGGACGGCCUCCAGCCAUCGCACCAUGUCCUUUACGUCCGGGUCACAUCUCGUCUGUGGAGUGGAGUCACCUGAAUUGCCAGAGUCAAACAAGGGGGCCAUGAUGAAUUCAGUUUCAUAAAAACAGUGAAACAUUAGAAACAUGUGCCUGCGGAUAUUGUGAAUAUUCAUGUACUGUAGUUGCGUUUUGAGAUGGUGAUCCAGUGAGCUACGCCCCUGACACAAACCGGUCAGGCAGAAACCUAAAAGCCUGAAGCCGAGGAGGUGGCCAUCAUUGACUGGUAGGUAAGCCAGACGAAAAACACUGAAGAUGUCAUAUAUCCUAAUAUACCCAAUAUACGUAUAUUAGGGCUGUAAAAAAUAACACAGUAACUAAUUUGUUACAUUAUUAUGUUAAAUUUUUGGUGUAUAUGUACAUGUGUGUGUGUGUGUAAGAUUUCCACUGUUUUUUUUUAACCAGAAAAGUGCAUUAGAGCAAGUAAAAAAAAACCGACAUACUAACCCCUCAUCAUUUUUGUCAAAAAAUCAGCGCCCUCAAACACUGGCAUUUUAUGCCAUUUUUGGGUGCUUCUGGGCCCCCUGUUGA